rnacentral:misc_RNA from 1 species
GAUGAAGAACGCAGCGAAAUGCGAUACUUGGUGUGAAUUCAGAAUCCCGCGAAUCAUCGAGUUUUUGAACGCAAGUUGCGCCCGAAGCCAUUCGGCCGAGGGCACGUCUGCCUGGGUGUCACGCAUCGUUGCCCCCCCAAACUCCGGUUCGGGCGGGGCGGAAGUUGGCCUCCCGUGCGUGCCUGCGCGCGCGGUUAGCCCAAAAGCGAGUCCUCGGCGAUGAGCGCCACGACAAUCGGUGGUUUUUUUACCCUCGUUCCUCGUCGUGCGUGCCCCGUCGCCCGAACGCGCUCUUGCAACCCUUACGCGUCGCCUCGGUGGCGCUCCCAACGCGACCCCAGGUCAGGCGGGACUACCCGCUGAGUUUAAGCAUAUCAAUAAGCGGAGGA